ensembl:lincRNA 5330434G04Rik RIKEN cDNA 5330434G04 gene
GUCCCCCACUGGUCUUCUGAGCAGACUUGACGCAGUUUCAUCUCAUUCCUGAGGUAUCCUGAGCCCCUCAGUGCCAUACUUCUGCGUGAGUGCUGUGAACUGGAGCAAAUGGGUUGAAAAUGGCCAGAAGUUGCUCUUGGUCUCUUUAGAUCUUUUAUGACAAAGAAAAAAAUUGAAUUUCUGACCAGUUAAAAUCCAUUUGAGCCAGUUUAAGCUAAUUAUGCAGAACUGGAGCCUGAGGUCGGUAAAUCCAGGAAGAUGGCUGAAUACUAUGCUGACUCAAGUACAGACAAGGAGCCAGCUUUCUUGGAUUCCAGCUUCACUUCUUCCUUGACUUCACCCUGGCCCUGUGGUGACUGGAGGCUUUGUGAUAUGAUGAGAAAACCAAGGCUCCAAGAGCUUCUGUAACUUGUCCAAGACCAUGCAGUUAGUGCACAGUGAGGCACAGAAUCAGUUGUAGAAGCACUUCAGGGAAUUCGGAUACUAUUUUGUGGCCUGGCAAGAUCAGCAGCCUUACUAUCUUAGUCCCUGCCAGUCAUCAGCUUCUGGUUUCCCUGUUAUCCUGCUGCUCCCUAGAAUGCAGCUAUUAAGUGGCCUAAGAGCCAGCACCUUCACGGAGUAGCAAAGAGGAAAGUCCAUUUGAGGACAGAGCGAGAAGACGAUGGUUAUCCACAAGCCAGAAAAAGAAGCCUCACCAGAAAUCCUGAUACCCUGAGUUUGGGUUUUCAAGCCCCUACAACUUCGAGACAAUGAAUAUCUUCUUUACAGUCUAUGAUAUCUUGUUUGGUAGACCAAGGAGACUAAUCUAUUACUUAAUAUUGGGAACAUUACUUAGAAGCUAAUGAUCUUCGAAAAUGGUAAAGUUAUUUAUGUUUGCUACUUUCAUUCUUCCUUUCCUCUGUUGAGCCAUUUAAAACAAUGAUACUGGCACUCAUUUCUCUUUACCUUUCAGUAUUUGAUUUCUAACAGAUGGCUAAGGUCUGACAAACACUGUCUUGAUAAUACACUACAGAGCGUUAGAGACAGACCCAGAUUUCCAUCCAAAGAGAGUAUUCUAAGCUUGGGUGGUGGCAAUGGAGCACUCUGACCUGUGAAGCACCAUUCUUUGAAGGCUUCUUUUGUGAUCCUCUUUAGAUCACAGUUUGGAACUGAGUUACAGACUAGAUCAUAUCUCCUCAUUCUCUCCAUUUGAUCUUUCUUCCCUCAUUAAUUCCAAAGUAUGCAAGCUAUAUGCUUUCUAGUGUUUUUCCCCCUUCACAGCCAUUGUCUAGGCACCAAAAAUAGAGAUGGAAAGAGACAGGUUUAAUCCAAAGCACCAGUUUCCAUUACCUUAAGCUUCCUCAAUGAUUUUUCUGAUGAGAUGAAAUUUCUUAUACUUGGUCUCAGGCCCAAGGUAUAUGCAAUACGUCAAUGAAAUUGAUUGCGACACAUUGAAGUGAGUGCCUGGGAACUAUGAGUUCCUUAACUAUUAAAAAAAAAAAAAGGACUCAGAACUUCUUGUAUAGGCACUGAAUACAGAGUUUUCAGUUGCUAUAAAGAUCUACCCUGAUGUUGAAAGUGUUUUGUUCUGUGACAAAAGUGUAAAUUCCACAAGCUUCAUGUGAAAUCCUUCACAUUAUGGUGCUGCCCUCCCUCUCCAUUCUAAUCUCCUGUUAUUCUGUAUACUUCAGUUGACUUGCAUAUUUGUUUCUUUACAGUGUAGUUGUUGGCCACAUAGUAGUCCUUGGGGCUAGAAAGACAACUCUAUCUACAGGCCCUUCUUCCACACAGGCCAGAGUGCUUGGGCUCACAGGGGAACCUUCUAAAAUGUCUCAUGUGGCUAAUGGCACUAUAGAAGCUUGUUUCUCAUAGAGAAGUCCCACAUGAGGAAUUCCAUUUAUGACAGCCUCAUAGAAGGGAUAAGGACCAGGGAACAGCCUUUUUUCAUGUACAGUAUUAAGUCUUGUUUUCUAGCUCUCUUGUGUUGGGUUUGAGCGAUUACCUUUAUGGGGCAUACACAGGUAAUAAUACAACUUUUCUACUUCAACAUAGGGAAGAGUUUAGCAAUUUCACGGAUUGAGAUACAAGCAACAAUGAAUUUUCUCUCAGCAGUGAAUAUUUGUUCCUGAGGAAGAUGUUUGGUUUUCAUUUUAAGAAGUCCAGAAAACUAUGGAAAGUGCUGACAGUCCAGAACACACACAUUCAAAGGUCUCACCUUUCAUCAUCUGGGAAUAAUAGGUGCUCAAGUUCUACCUAUUUUCCUUGAUGUCCCAAGGAAGAUCCUUGCUGCAACAGAGAUGUGGAUGUCCUGGCUGAGACAAGAGAAAUGUGUUGAAGAAUGUGGGCCAAGGGCUGCUGCAUAUCAAGGGGAUGUGAGAUCAUGUCUAGUUUGACUUUGGCUCUUUAGUACUGUGCCCUAUUGAUAGUUGGGCCUGGGCCUCCAGGGGUCUCCAAAGCAAAGGAUAGGGAUGAGAUACAUGAUGAAGGGGAAGAAAAGCUGCUUCCCAAAUGGAUGCUUGUUGUUUGGAGAUGGGAUGUUUGUUAAGGUCAAGAUAAGAUCCCCAGAUUCAAGGCCUAGAUCUGCCCUUGACUUCAUGUAUGACCUUGGGUAAGCCAUUUCUAGGUUUUGAAUCUCAGUUUCUUUACAUCUUUAAAAAACGGGUUGGAGGCCAGAUGUGGUGGUUCACACCCUUAAUCGUAACACUCAGUAGGCAGAGGCAGGUAUCAGUUGAGGCUAGUCUAUAUAGUGAGUUUCAGGCCAGUCCGGAAUACAUAGUGAGACCUUGUCUCAAAAAAAAAAAAAUCAAGAAUGGUUUGAGGCUGGGACUGUAACCCAGUUGGUAGACUUCUUACCUAAAUUGCACAAAGCUCUAGGUCCAAACCCCAGUGCUAUAUAAACAAGGCAUGGUGGUAAUAUGCUUGUCUGUAAUCCUAGAUCUUAGGUGGUAAUGGCAAGAGAAUCAGAGGUUCAAGGUCAUCAUCAGCUACAUUUUAAGUUUUGGGACAUCCUGGGAUAUAUAAGAUACUGUCUUAAAAACAAAGAAAAAGUUCAGUUUAUCUUUGAGGUACUCUCUCACACUGACCUUCAGUAUUUUUGGACCCUCAAGUUGUCUAAGGAAGGAGCAAAUGGCAAGACUAUUAUAUUUAGACUGGAAGUUAUAGAGUAUGAAAAGACUAAAAGAAAAAAAAACAUUUAAAGUACAAAACCACAAAGUAUACAAUGUUAUUGGCAUUUAUCGGUAUUUCCCACUAUAAGUAUUUUGUCCUAUUGUUCCUGGGGAACAGUUGAAAUGUCUUGGGAAACACAAUUUUCAUUGUUUCAGUUAUAUCUCCUAAAUUGUUCAUUCAACCAGCGAGGGCAUCACCAAGUUUUUUGUUUUUUGGGUUUUUUUUUUGUUUUGUUUUUGUUUUGUUUUGUUUUUUAACAGGGACCAGUGUCAAAUUUUUGUUUAAGGAAAUAUGGUCACCAUAACUCUGUACCACUCGCCUUAUCUUCUUUCAAGGUUGUUCUCAUAUGUGACAAGUUUUCUGUCUGUGUAAUAAAUGUUCAAGGAAAUGGAAACUGAUU